rnacentral:rRNA from 1 species
CCUAGCGGCAGACGGGUGCGUAACAUGCGGGAAUCUGCCUUGUGGUUCAGGACAACAUUGGGAAACCGAUGCUAAUACUGGAUAAGUCCUAACGGAGAAAGUUUUAAUGCCAAAAGAUGAGCCCGCAUUUGAUUAGCUAGUUGGUAAGGUAACGGCUUACCAUGGCGACAAUCAAUAGCUGAUUUGAGAGGAUGAUCAGCCACACUGGGACUGAGAUACGGCCCAGACUCC